AUUGAACGCUGGCGGCAUGCCUUACACAUGCAAGUCGAACGGCAGCACGGGAGCAAUCCUGGUGGCGAGUGGCGAACGGGUGAGUAAUAUAUCGGAACGUGCCCAGUCGUGGGGGAUAACGUAGCGAAAGCUACGCUAAUACCGCAUACGAUCUACGGAUGAAAGCGGGGGAUCGCAAGACCUCGCGCGAUUGGAGCGGCCGAUAUCAGAUUAGGUAGUUGGUGAGGUAAAGGCUCACCAAGCCGACGAUCUGUAGCUGGUCUGAGAGGACGACCAGCCACACUGGGACUGAGACACGGCCCAGACUCCUACGGGAGGCAGCAGUGGGGAAUUUUGGACAAUGGGCGCAAGCCUGAUCCAGCAAUGCCGCGUGCAGGAUGAAGGCCUUCGGGUUGUAAACUGCUUUUGUACGGAACGAAACGGUAAGCUCUAAUACAGUUUGCUAAUGACGGUACCGUAAGAAUAAGCACCGGCUAACUACGUG
rnacentral:rRNA from 1 species